rfam:Halomicrobium mukohataei DSM 12286, complete genome.
AGAGUGGACUAGGUCGAGGGGUUAGGCCCCCCUCCUCGCCCGCACUACGGUCUUGAGCGGGGACCAAACUCGGGGGCGUCCGGUCUGCCGGACGCAGGCCCCGUGAGCUAACGUCGAAGCCUCGUCCAACGGGGACAGCGGUCCACACGGCUGCGCCUGCAGGGGCGUUCGCCUGUGGUUAGACGAGGGCACUCCGCCAGGCACGGAAGUGAGCAGCGGACCCUCGUACACCUGUCGCUCGUCGGAUCGCGGGGUGGAGGAGGCAAACGGGACUACCUGCGCCCGAACGCCGGGCAAUCUCGCUGUCCAUCU